AUCUUAAUGAACCUUGAAUGAACAUGAAACAUAAUCCUGGUACUACCCAACGUAGCAUGUGUAGAACUGAGCAUAAGGCAUUACUACAGUGCUUGAUCUAUGCGUAAAGGAUACGCUCACCAGAAUACUCUUGGUCUUUUUUGUUUUUUUGGAUGGUUACAGGAAGCCAGGGUAUGUGGCGUGUGUGGUGUUUCACUCUGAAGCCUCAAACCCAGCAGGGUGUCAGGUUCAUGAAUGCGGUGCAAGGAUGAAGUUUCGACACAUUAAGCUGCGACCCUGAAGGCUGUUUAUACAAGAGCAACACAGAAAUUGAAGGGAUCGGGGGUAAAGACACCCACCAGCAUUAACCCUCACCAGGGCUGCCCCAAACACCCACCACCACACUACCCAUGAUGUAGUGGAGGCGAGGUCUCCCUGCUGUCAUCGGUGACCACGCAUGUCUAGCUCAUUGAGUGUGAAGGAAAAGCUGUGCUUCUUUCGGAAAGGUGAGAUAUUACUGUAAUCCAUUUGUGUAAAUCUCUCAUUAAUAUAAUGAAGAGAAAGCAGAGAUGAUGUGGCUUAGAUAUCACUAACCACAACAGUGCUUCUGUCCAAAAGUGUGAAGAUAAACAGUCCAAUAAUGAAGACAAUGAAAUGAAAGUAACUUCCUUUGUCUUAGAGAAAUUUUUAUCACUUUUGAUGCCAUCAAAUAUAACCAGUGGGUAAAGCUGUGUGUGAAGCCUGCUAACAACUAUUUAUUAUGUACUUAUGAAAGCUGAUUUAGGUAUUUUGAUGACACUAUUUGUAAAAGGUAUACUCUUAUUCAUUCAGUGUGACUGUUUCUUAGCAACAAGAGUGGGAAAAAGAACAUAUACAUAGCUGAAUAGCUUAAUUAUCACAACAUGGUGACUUCCAAGAAAAACAUGAGUAUUUCAUGUGAAUAUUGUUUAAGUAUUUAUUUGUCGCUAAAUUCAAGUUUGUUAGGUUAAGAAAAAUCGCCAAUAUUUCUGGAUGGCUUUUUUCACCUUUGUCCCGUCUUCCUCACGCCCAACCGAUCGCAGAUCCUUGUUUCUGAUUCUGCUGGAGGUAUCUUCCUGUUAAAAGGGAGUUUUUUCUUCCCACUGUUGUCAAGUGCUUGUUCACAGGGGGUCGUCUAAUUGGUGGAGAUUUCUCUGUAUUAUUGUAAGGUCUCUACCUUACAAUACGAAGCACCUUUAGCCGACUGUUUGUUGACAGACAUAGAGAGCUUAGCACAUAGUGAGAGGCUUCUAUUCUAUAUUCACGUUAGUGUAACAACAACUUAAGUGAGGUUAUAUUCACUUCACCUGUCUCUCCUCAGCAGACAGGGGAAGUUUGUUUUGCCAGCACACAGACAAAGCAGAGUGGAAAAGACGACUCAGCUUGGUUUUCUGGAUUGACUGUUAGAUGGCAGUACCCAGUACCAGGUACCUUUUUAGUAGCUACUUGGCCAGGGUUCCAACUGAGCCGAGUCGAGCUGAAUAUGCAACAUCAACAGACUGCACGCCACUGUGUGACUCACUGGAUGAGUCAUGAGAGUGACUCCUUCACAAGAGUCAAACCUGUCAUUUUUGAAACCCGACGACGAGGGAAACGGCUGCACACAAACCAGCACCGUGGUCCAACAACAAGGUGCAGACAUUUAGCAUUGGUUUAGCAGCAUGUAUGCCAUCGCCUCGAUAUCGUCCAUUGUUGUGUUGUGCUUGUGCCGCAUAAAAAGUAUGUCAAGGGACUUUUGGGCUGUGUGUGUGGGCUAUAAUGACCUCACCCACACUGAAGUGGUACUCAGUUCUAAUGGAAACCGAAUAGAGCUGAGUUGAAAAGCUGUUAGUGGAAAAGAGGCAAAAGGAAAACAUGUUCCCUGAGUUCCCUGAGUAAACUCCUGAAAUAAGCACAGUUGACCUAAGCAGUAGACCCAGCCAUCCAUCCAUGCUCUACACGGAUAAUGCUAUUUGUAUGUUUUAACUUUUACUGUUCUCCACAGCCAGCUGAGGGUCUAACAACAGUACAAGCAAGAGUAACCCACAGACCGGUUGUACCACAUGUCUUUGACACUGCCCCCAUCUGACAGCAGACGCUCUCUGCGGGCAGAAAGGCAGACUAUAGCUGCUCACAGAUUUCCAAACCACUACCACCACUAAACCACGAUUUUCCCCAUCAUACUGUGUUGUGGUGUGGGAGGUCACAGCAGGGUCUAUAGGAUGAUUUUGUUAUCUUGCAAGGGAUUUAUAAUUCCAUGUUAAAUGUACUCCGUAGGUACGUCGUAACCUUUGAUUCCUCCUAUGCCUUUCCAGCUACUUCUUUUUCUGCCUCCAAAGAGAGAAACCUCACUGCUAACCACUGCUUUGGUAGCAAAACUGCAACGCAACAGUGCUGCUUUCCACUUGAAGUGGGAAGUCAAAAAAACUCCUGGGUCAGAAUUUUCAACUGGAACACCCUGGUAAGAUUUUGGAACUUGCAAAGUCAGAGAAGCUCUAAUAUCCCCAACUCACUAUCCAGAAUUAGUAAAACUGUAAAACUUUUAAUCUGUGCUACUACUACUGUGUGUGUGUGUGUGUGUGUGUGUGUGUGUGUGUGUGUGUGUGUGUGUGUGUGUGUGUGUGUGUGUGUGUGUGUGUGACU